rnacentral:rRNA from 1 species
UGGGGAAUAUUGCACAAUGGGGGAAACCCUGAUGCAGCGACGCCGCGUGGAGGAAGAAGGUCUUCGGAUUGUAAACUCCUGUUGUUGAGGAAGAUAAUGACGGUACUCAACAAGGAAGUGACGGCUAACUACGUGCCAGCAGCCGCGGUAAAACGUAGGUCACAAGCGUUGUCCGGAAUUACUGGGUGUAAAGGGAGCGCAGGCGGGAAGACAAGUUGGAAGUGAAAUCCAUGGGCUCAACCCAUGAACUGCUUUCAAAACUGUUUUUCUUGAGUAGUGCAGAGGUAGGCGGAAUUCCCGGUGUAGCGGUGGAAUGCGUAGAUAUCGGGAGGAACACCAGUGGCGAAGGCGGCCUACUGGGCACCAACUGACGCUGAGGCUCGAAAGUGUGGGUAGCAAACAGGAUUAGAUACCCUGGUAGUCCACACCGUAAACGAUGAUUACUAGGUGUUGGAGGAUUGACCCCUUCAGUGCCGCAGUUAACACAAUAAGUAAUCCACCUGGGGAGUACGACCGCAAGGUUGAAACUCAAAGGAAUUGACGGGGGCCCGCACAAGCAGUGGAGUAUGUGGUUUAAUUCGACGCAACGCGAAGAACCUUACCAAGUCUUGACAUCCUGCGACGAUGCUGGAAACAGUAUUUUCCUUCGGGACGCAGAGACAGGUGGUGCAUGGUUGUCGUCAGCUCGUGUCGUGAGAUGUUGGGUUAAGUCCCGCAACGAGCGCAACCCUUAUGGUCAGUUACUACGCAAGAGGACUCUGGCCAGACUGCCGUUGACAAAACGGAGGAAGGUGGGGAUGACGUCAAAUCAUCAUGCCCUUUAUGACUUGGGCUACACACGUACUACAAUGGCGUUAAACAAAGAGAAGCAAGACCGCGAGGUGGAGCAAAACUCAGAAACAACGUCCCAGUUCGGACUGCAGGCUGCAACUCGCCUGCACGAAGUCGGAAUUGCUAGUAAUCGUGGAUCAGCAUGCCACGGUGAAUACGUUCCC